rnacentral:rRNA from 1 species
UACGUGGGGAGCAAGCGUUGUUCGGAUUUACUGGGCGUAAAGGGCGCGUAGGCGGCCACCGCAAGUCGACUUGGAAAUCUCCGGGCUUAACCCGGGAAGGUCAGCCGAUACUGCGGGGCUAGAGUGCAGAAGGGGCAACUGGAAUUCUCGGUGUAGCGGUGAAAUGCGUAGAUAUCGAGAGGAACACCUGCGGCGAAGGCGGGUUGCUGGGCUGACACUGACGCUGAGGCGCGAAGGCUAGGGGAGCGAACGGG